rnacentral:tRNA from 1 species
GCCGCCAUGGUGAAAUUGGUAGACACGCUGCUCUUAUUAGUAAUCCUUUUUAGAAAUCGAAUGGAUUCGGUCUUAUACAUACGCG